AUUGAACGCUGGCGGAAUGCUUUACACAUGCAAGUCGAACGGUAGAGGGGGCAACCCCUCGAGAGUGGCGAACGGGUGAGUAAUAUAUCGGAACGUGCCCAGUCGUGGGGGAUAACGUAGCGAAAGUUACGCUAAUACCGCAUACGAUCUAAGAUGAAAGCGGGGGAUCGCAAGACCUCGCGCGAUUGGAGCGGCCGAUAUCAGAUUAGGUAGUUGGUGGGGUAAAGGCUCACCAAGCCAACGAUCUGUAGCUGGUCUGAGAGGACGACCAGCCACACUGGAACUGAGACACGGUCCAGACUCCUACGGGAGGCAGCAGUGGGGAAUUUUGGACAAUGGACGCAAGUCUGAUCCAGCCAUUCCGCGUGCAGGAUGAAGGCCCUCGGGUUGUAAACUGCUUUUGUACGGAACGAAAAGGUCUCUCCUAAUACGAGGGGCUCAUGACGGUACCGUAAGGAUAAGCACCGGCUAACUACGUGCCAGCCGCCGCCGUAAUAC
rnacentral:rRNA from 1 species